GGGCGAGUGCUGGAAUGGUAGACAGUCACGACUCAAAAUCGUGUGGCUUUGCGGCCGUGAGGGUUCGAGUCCCUCCUCGCCCA
rnacentral:tRNA from 1 species